rnacentral:lncRNA from 1 species
CAAGCCUCACCUGGAGCCUCCAUCCACGCCAUUGUCAAUAUGCACAGAGCGUUUUUAAAACUCAGACCAACAACCUCAUUUGCUUUCUUGGCUGUGCUGUAGGAAUGCCACACUCUAGCUCAGCUACAGGUAUACCUGACCACGGAUGGUCCUGAUCAUGGAUGAUCCAGCUUGAUCUUAGAGCUACCCUGUUGUGAUGGACCUGCCUAGCACUCACUGGACUUCAUCCUGUCCCUGACUGCAGAUUGAUUUCCCAGCUUGAUCUCAGACCUGCCUUGUCUCAGUAAACUUGCUUCAUGGUCGGGACCUAUGAGUGAACCUGAUUUAUAGGCCUGCCCUGUCCACCUCAACUGGGUGCUCUGUGAUGGGUUAUGAGUUCCAUAUGAGUUCCUUGCUACCUGUCCUUAAGGAAACAGCUGGUCCUUGCUGUUCCAUGAUGCCUGGUCUGAUGACGUUCAACAACAGUGAGCAGUCAUGGAAGUAGUCUGGUGCUCUCAAGAAUCAUUUUAUCAUUCCUUUUUCUUCUGAGCCUAAAUUAAAAUAUUUUACACAAGUUUGCAUUGGGAUUUUCUUUCUGCUGGGGCUAGCUGAUGUUGCGAAAGCAGGAAGCAUGCUUCAAGUGAGUUGUGCUGUUCUUAAUGCCUGGUAGUGGAGAGGGAAGAACACCUGAUGUGCUUUGUACGUGAUCCCUGAAGGUAUGCAGGAGUGAGGAAAAAGAUGAAAACCAGCACAGUACAGUAGCAGCUUAAAUAAGUAAAUAAGGCUGAUGCAUGUUAGCUUGUCAGCUGCUGUUCUGCUGAAACCUGACUACUGGCUAAGCACAUUUUCUUGGUAAGCACUGUGAUGUGAUAAAAUCUUCUUGAUUUGAUG